GCGUAGUCGAUGGGAAACAGGUUAAUAUUCCUGUACUUGGUGUUACUGCGAAGGGGGGACGGAGAAGGCUAUGUUGGCCGGGCGACGGUUGUCCCGGUUUAAGCGUGUAGGCUGGUUUUCCAGGCAAAUCCGGAAAAUCAAGGCUGAGGCGUGAUGACGAGGCACUACGGUGCUGAAGCAACAAAUGCCCUGCUUCCAGGAAAAGCCUCUAAGCAUCAGGUAACAUCAAAUCGUACCCCAAACCGACACAGGUGGUCAGGUAGAGAAUACCAAGGCGCUUGAGAGAACUCGGGUGAAGGAACUAGGCAAAAUGGUGCCGUAACUUCGGGAGAAGGCACGCUGAUAUGUAGGUGAAGCGACUUGCUCGUGGAGCUGAAAUCAGUCGAAGAUACCAGCUGGCUGCAACUGUUUAUUAAAAACACAGCACUGUGCAAACACGAAAGUGGACGUAUACGGUGUGACGCCUGCCCGGUGCCGGAAGGUUAAUUGAUGGGGUCAGCGCAAGCGAAGCUCUUGAUCGAAGCCCCGGUAAACGGCGGCCGUAACUAUAACGGUCCUAAGGUAGCGAAAUUCCUUGUCGGGUAAGUUCCGACCUGCACGAAUGGCGUAAUGAUGGCCAGGCUGUCUCCACCCGAGACUCAGUGAAAUUGAACUCGCUGUGAAGAUGCAGUGUACCCGCGGCAAGACGGAAAGACCCCGUGAACCUUUACUAUAGCUUGACACUGAACAUUGAGCCUUGAUGUGUAGGAUAGGUGGGAGGCUUUGAAGUGUGGACGCCAGUCUGCAUGGAGCCGACCUUGAAAUACCACCCUUUAAUGUUUGAUGUUCUAACGUUGGCCCCUAAUCGGGGUUGCGGACAGUGUCUGGUGGGUAGUUUGACUGGGGCGGUCUCCUCCUAAAGAGUAACGGAGGAGCACGAAGGUUGGCUAAUCCUGGUCGGACAUCAGGAGGUUAGUGCAAUGGCAUAAGCCAGCUUGACUGCGAGCGUGACGGCGCGAGCAGGUGCGAAAGCAGGUCAUAGUGAUCCGGUGGUUCUGAAUGGAAGGGCCAUCGCUCAACGGAUAAAAGGUACUCCGGGGAUAACAGGCUGAUACCGCCCAAGAGUUCAUAUCGACGGCGGUGUUUGGCACCUCGAUGUCGGCUCAUCACAUCCUGGGGCUGAAGUAGGUCCCAAGGGUAUGGCUGUUCGCCAUUUAAAGUGGUACGCGAGCUGGGUUUAGAACGUCGUGAGACAGUUCGGUCCCUAUCUGCCGUGGGCGCUGGAGAACUGAGGGGGGCUGCUCCUAGUACGAGAGGACCGGAGUGGACGCAUCACUGGUGUUCGGGUUGUCAUGCCAAUGGCACUGCCCGGUAG
rnacentral:rRNA from 1 species